AUGCUAAAACUUGGUUUUAAUCUUUGCCUAAAAAUAUUAUUGAUUCUUGGAAUAAGUGGACAAGUUUUUCCGGACGGAGGGUGUAUGUAUGUUGUGAUUCCCUUAGUGGUGUCAUGUGAAUGUCGACUACAUGACACUUCACCAUAUUUGGGCCUAAGGGAAUGCAUUGUGGAGUAG
rnacentral:rRNA from 1 species